UCGGCGCUAGGUUUUUUUUUUUUUUUUUUGCCCUCGGCGAUUCCGGCAGUCGCCGCCGUUCGCUCAGCCCCCACGGCCGAUGCUCACCGCCAGGGAGGCAUCCGUGGCAGCGCAUCGGGCCCCGUCUGACGCUUACGCCGAGGAGGCGGCGCAUCCCGCACCCGACGCAAGGCUCCUGGGAGGAGGGCAGGUAAUGGAUCGCCCCCACGGCCGACGCUCGCCACCGGGGAGGCAUCAGUGGCAGCGGAUCUGGCCCCCGCCCUUCAUUCGCCGCCGGGGAGGCGGCGCGUGCCACAAAUAACGCUCGUCCCCUCGGAAGGAGGGAUGGCGGGUGGCUUGCCCCCAUAGCCCACGCUCGCCGGCGGGGAGUCAUCCGUGCGGCGGAUGGGCCCAGACCCUUUCUUGAAGCCGACCGAUGGUGCUGGUGGUGCAAGGCGUCGUGACGCGCCGCAUAGAGGUCCGGGUCCCUUUCAACGAGCGGGAGUGGCGGCGCUCGGCUCGUGGAUCCGUAAAGUCGGCCCCAGCACCCCGCUGCCUCUCGCCGUCGGCCUGCGCACGCCCUGCCGCUCGGCACCAGGGAUUUGGAUCGGGACCCGCUCGACGCUCGACUCUCGACUCCUUGGCGGCGGUGGCUCCCGUGAUCCGUGGCGUCCUUUGGGGAUGGCGGCCAGUACUCACGGGGAAGUCGAUGUCCGGAUUGUCCUCUCAUCGCUGGCCCCUUCGCUUCCCGGCUGUGGGGAUGCCAGCGGCAGGCCUCCGCAUGCCUAGGACAAGCAGGGCAGCGCGUCGUGCUCUGAAUCCUUCCCGCCACUCAAAACAUGUCGUAUCAGAUACAAUGCGCAGGCACUAGCGUGAGCACAAUAACGUUCUAUGGUUUCGCAGAGAGUGUCUUCUGAUUGAGCACAUGGAUUCAUGUGGUGAAAAGAAGACUUACACCGCCUCUUGACGUGUUUUCCUUCUUCAAGUGGCUUGACGGCUCAAACCUACAGGUGUUUGGUGUAGUCUGCACACGUCGAGGCUGUGAUUUAUCCCCCCUCAAACUGUCUAUUCAAACUCUGAAGAAAUUCAUAAAUAUGGGUGUUGUAAUGAGAUGUAAAAGUGUACUUACAGGGGAUGUACUAGUAUCCUGAACUUUUGCUUGCUUUGGUGCUUCAAUCCGGCGGGGCAUGACCUCGUUGUCUAUUUGAUUUGAAGAUUUAUCUGGGCAUUGCUCUGUAUUUACACUUUUGUAAUCA